rnacentral:rRNA from 1 species
UGAGGACGGCAACCUGAUGCUGCACCUGCAACGCCUGGAAACCACGCUGAAUGGCUGUCCCUCAGCUCGUGUCGUGAGAUGUUGGGUUAAGUCCCGUAACGAGCGCAACCCUUGAUCCUUAGUUACCAGCACGUAAUGGUGGGCACUCUAAGGAGACUGCCGGUGACAAACCGGAGGAAGGUGGGGAUGACGUCAAGUCAUCAUGGCCCUUACGGCCUGGGCUACACACGUGCUACAAUGGUCGGUACAGAGGGUUGCCAAGCCGCGAGGUGGAGCUAAUCCCAGAAAACCGAUCGUAGUCCGGAUCGCAGUCUGCAACUCGACUGCGUGAAGUCGGAAUCGCUAGUAAUCGCGAAUCAGAAUGUCGCGGUGAAUACGUUCCCGGGUCUUGU